ensembl:lncRNA novel transcript
GGCGCUUUGAGAGUCGAGGUCUCCCGCCCGCGCGCCUCCCUGGCGCAGACCUCUUUUAACUUUUUGGCGUGGAGUGCGCGUCCUGACGUGCCCCCUGAGCUACAGCUUACUGAGCUUUACUGGCUUCGCCGGACAGCCGUCCCCAGGUGGAGAGACAGCGCGUCGCGCGCUGCCCGGGCCCCGCAGGGCCUGGCGCCUGGGGCCCUUGCGCCGCUUUGGGGCGAGGGGAUCACACCGCGGGCUCCCGGAGCUUAGCGUCUUCCACGCGGCGCUGUGUGUCAUCCACGCAGUGUGCUCUCGCUGCCGUGUUCAGGUCACUGCGAGGGUGAGCCCCGCUUUAUCUACCCCUUCUGCUGUUGAUGGGCACUCGUCUGGGGCUAGAAGGGAUAAGGUUGCUGUGAGCGUUCUCGUGUGUUUUUGGUGCACGCGCACACACAUUUCUCUGGGGUGCAGACCUGUCUAGUAGUGGAACUGCCGUUUCCCAGCACUUUGGAGCAAAGCCCUGUUGCAGUCUGAAGCGGAAAAGGCAGACGGGCCUUCCAUGUUCGUGAUUCCAGCCAGGCACAGAAGGGAAGGACAGGGACAGCAGCCGCGCGGAGGCGAGGAGGGACACUGGGCGCUGCUGUCCCCUCUCAGGGGCAGCCACUCCUCUUGUGGACGCAGGUGUGGUCACCAGAAGGGAAGGACAGCAGAGGACUCUUCAGGGACCUUCCUGGAUCCCCCUGCAAUGGGAGUGGCCUACUUGCUUGACUUGAGGGUGAGACUUGGUCAGCCCUUGACUGUAGGGGGCAGGACCAUGGGCUUCAGUGGGGCAGCACCCAUGACCCACGCCUCUGCUUCCAUUCCCUGCUUACUGCCCGGGCCUCUGGGCAGGGGAGUCUAGUCUCCCUUCCCAGGCUUCCAAUGCCUCGCCCCCUGCUGUGGUAAGGAUUCGCGCUGGUCCCUAUUUAUUAAUCAGGGAACUUGGGGUUCCAGUUUUCUCCCCUUCUCUGCAUCUCAUCCCCUUGAGAGCCCCCUGGAGCAGAGGAUAACGCACGAGGGGACUGGCUGUGUAUAUUUUGAUAACAAUAUCAAAAUACUGUCAAAUACUAAACGGAAAAGAAAUAGGAAAACAUUGAACUUUAUUAAAAUGAACUUCAAAAGACACCAUUAAGAGUAAAAAGAUGACUCACAAAAAAGUUGCCUUUUGUUCAGUAAACGACUCAGGACCAGAAAAUAUGAAGACCCCUACAACAAGAAAAAUAUAGAUAGCUCAGUUAAAAAUUGACAAAAGACUUGAAAAGAUAUUUCACAAAAGGAGAGAUCCAGACAGUCAAUCCACACACGAAAGGGUACUUAGCAUCAGGGAACUGCAAAUAGUGACAUUCGAUUCCAUAUCACAGCCACUGGAUGGCUAAAAUAGCAACGCCAAGUGCUGAUGAGACUGUGGAACAACCAGCUGGGCUCUCAUACCCUGCUGAUGGGAGAGUGGAUUGGAGCAACCACGUGGAAACAUCUAAUGGAGGUAAGCAAACGCCUGCCAUAGGAACCAGCGUGUAUAUCCAAGGGAACCGAGUGCUAGGUUCCUGAUCAUGGUCAAGAUCGCCUACAGCAAAUUUACUUAUUUAUUUUAAUCCCCCAACAAAUGUCUUUAAUGUCUUUAGAAAGAUUAAUUAAAUGGUAGUAUUUUAAGAAUGCAAUGGUAUACUGCACAGCAACAAAAAAAUAACAAACUGCUAAUACUUGCAGCAACAUGGAUAAAUCUCAAAGUAUUGAAUGCAAAGCUACAAUAGAGUGCAUAACUAAGGAUUCCAUUAUAUAAAAUACAAAAUCCAGGCAAGACUGAUCUACAGUGUUAGAGGUCAGGAGAGAAUUUUGGAGGUAGUUGCUUGGGCACCGGGAUACUGCGUGGGGAGCUGUGAGUGCUGCAUAUCUUUAGCUGCGUCCUGCUUGGAGUGCAUACUCUGUGAAAAUUCAUCAACCUGUGCACUUAAGACUUGUGUACUUACAUUAUCUUUCAGGAAAAAGAAAAGAAAAGUAUGCCAAACUUUACCCUUCACCUUUCUUCUCAAAAUGGUCAGGUUUCAGAGCUGUGGUAGAAACUUCUAGUACUGACAACAGCCAGUACCUCCCCGCUUGGCAGCUGAGACUAUGGGACCAGUUCUGGCCAAUGGAAUGUGAGGGGAAAUGACGGAUGUCAAUUCCAGGCUGAAGCUUUUAGUUGCCAGAGCCAGGUCCUCCAGUCCUACCUUUCCACUGUGGCAGUCCCUCUGAAGUCCCAAGAUCAAGAGCUGACAGCUGAAUCCUUGCAUGGAGAGUCGCCUGGACCUGCAGUGGACUCUGGAUGAGGGAGUAUACACCCCUCUCCUGAGAUGGCAAACAGGAGGUCUGGAUCAAUCCUACAGUGUCGGCAAAUGUCUGGAUUACCCUGCAAGUUCAGACCAGUGAGGAUCCUUCAGCCACUGGGGGAAAGGCUCUGCUGACACAGCAACAGCGAGCAGGGGGCGCCAGCCAGCCAGCUGGCCGUGCAGUGUUCCAGCGGCAGGCGUAGUUUUCUCCCACCUCUCAUGGACAUUGAGUGCACCUUGUGAAAGGGAGGCAUGACAGCUCCACAUCUGUGUUCACCCUUGUGGAUCCCAGGUGAGACUCCAGAUGAAAUGGGAGAGUUCUCUGACCCCCUCACAGGACAUGUGACAGGAGUGUGGCUAGUCUGUUCAGCCUCCACCACUGCUGAAACACCUUAUGGGAGGGGGAGCAUGCAGAUGGGCAAGCGCAGGUGCCAGGGCCAGCGCUUUUGGGCUUCAACCCCAUGGUGGCAUCUAGGGGUGUGUGUCUGUGACUCCUGAAGCCCCAGUGUGUGUGCUCCAGUGCUCUUUUAGCUCUGCUGUCUGUCAGGCCUCUGAGCCCAAGCUAAGCCAUCAGAUCCCCUGUGACCUGCACGUAUACAUCCAGACGGCCUGAAGCAACUGAAGAACCACAAAAGAAGUGAAAAUAGCCAGUUCCUGCCUUAACUGAUGACAAUCCACCAUUGUGAUUUGUUCCUGCCCCACCCUAACUGAUCAAUUGGCCUUGUGACAUUCCUUCUCCUGGGCAACGAGUCUCAUGAUCUCCCCACCCUGCACCUUGUGAGCCCCGUCCCUGCCCACAAGAGAUAACCACCUUUAACUGUAAUUUUCCACUACCUACCCAAAUCAUAUAAAACUGUCCCACCCCUAUCUCCCUUUGCUGACUUCUUUUUCAGACUCAGUCUGCC